AGUCUCAUAAUUGUUUCAGCUUCUUAUCCACAAGCAGGAUUUUCCUUCAGUUGUUCCUGGUCUGUUGAGAAGCUAUUUAUCAAAACCUGCUUCUGACCACAGAAUUCCAGUAAACCUGUGAUUUCCUCCUUCUUUGAAAAUGAACCCUGUUGUAAACCAGCCACAAUUUGGGGCUACCACAGGCUAUGGAACCAGAAGUGAUUGGCAAACUGGAAUAUUUGACUGUUUUGAUGACUGGGGAAUUUGCCUCUGUGGGACAUUCUGUGCCCUUUGCCUUUCAUGCCAAAUUGCUGCUGACAUGAAUGAAUGCUGUUUGUGUGGAGGAAGUGUAGCCAUGAGGACCCUCUACCGGACCAAAUAUGGCAUCCCUGGAUCAAUUUACAAUGAUUUCUUCUGGUUGUAUUGUUGCCCUAACUGUACUCUUUGUCAACUUAAAAGAGAUAUUGAAAAAAGGAAAGAAAUGAAUGCUUUUUAGAACAACUCCUGGCUAAGCCUGCAUUUACUACAGAGGAAACAGAGCAUCAGUCAUCAGAGUAUUUAACUGAGCACUAUUUGCGUCCUGCUAAUGAAUCAUUGCCUAAUAACCAAAUUCCUUCAGAGUCUUACUUCAGGAUCCACAAGAAAUUCAUAACUUGCCCUAAGAAAUGCCAACAUCAAUGUAUUUCCUGACUCUUCCACAAGAUGAUUACCAUUAGUGAAAUUGAUUACUGUUCUAUUCUCUUUAAAUACUGUUUCUUGGAAAGUUGAGACUUUUAAAAAAAUGUUUCUAAGGAAAAUGCUACAAUAAAUAAGCAGGGAGUUAUCCUAACCUGUAAUGGAGUUCAAAA